rnacentral:tRNA from 1 species
GCGAGUGUGAUGUUUAACGGUUUAGCAUCCCUGUCUUCCAAACAGGUCGUGCCAGUUCGAAUCUGGUCACUCGUUCGA